CUUAGUAACGAAGCUAACGCGUGAAGUUGACCGCCUGGGGAGUACGGUCGCAAGAUUAAAACUCAAAGGAAUUGACGGGGACCCGCACAAGCGGUGGAUGAUGUGGAUUAAUUCGAUGCAACGCGAAAAACCUUACCUACCCUUGACAUGUCCGGAAUCCUGCAGAGAUGCGGGAGUGCCCGAAAGGGAAUCGGAACACAGGUGCUGCAUGGCUGUCGUCAGCUCGUGUCGUGAGAUGUUGGGUUAAGUCCCGCAACGAGCGCAACCCUUAUCAUUAGUUGCUACGCAAGGGCACUCUAAUGAGACUGCCGGUGACAAACCGGAGGAAGGUGGGGAUGACGUCAAGUCCUCAUGGCCCUUAUGGGUAGGGCUUCACACGUCAUACAAUGGUCGGUACAGAGGGUUGCCAAGCCGCGAGGUGGAGCCAAUCCCAGAAAGCCGAUCGUAGUCCGGAUUGUUCUCUGCAACUCGAGAGCAUGAAGUCGGAAUCGCUAGUAAUCGCGGAUCAGCAUGUCGCGGUGAAUACGUUCCCGGGUCUUGUACACACCGCCCGUCACACCAUGGGAGUGGAAUCUGCCAGAAGUAGGUAGCCUAACCGCAAGGGGGGCGCUUA
rnacentral:rRNA from 1 species